rnacentral:SRP_RNA from 2 species
GCCGGGUGUGGUGGCGCUUGCCUGUAGUCCCAGCUACUUGGGAGGCUGAGGCAGGAGAAUCGCUUGAACUCAGGAGGUGGAGGUUGCAGUGAAUCGAGAUCGCACCACUGCACUCCAGCCUGGGUGACAGAGUGAGACUCCGUCUCAA